CGCCAGACUCCUACGGGAGGCAGCAGUGUGGAAUAUUGCACAAUGGGGGAAACCCUGAUGCAGCGACGCCGCGUGAGUGAAGAAGUAUUUCGGUAUGUAAAGCUCUAUCAGCAGGGAAGAAGGUGACGGUACCUGACUAAGAAGCCCCGGCUAACUACGUGCCAGCAGCCGCGGUAAUACGUAGGGGGCAAGCGUUAUCCGGAUUUACUGGGUGUAAAGGGAGCGUAGACGGCAGGGCAAGUCUGGAGUGAAAGCCCGGGGCCCAACCCCGGGACUGCUUUGGAAACUGUGUAACUUGAGUGCAGGAGAGGUAAGCGGAAUUCCUAGUGUAGCGGUGAAAUGCGUAGAUAUUAGGAGGAACACCAGUGGCGAAGGCGGCUUACUGGACUGUAACUGACGUUGAGGCUCGAAAGCGUGGGGAGCAAACAGGAUUAGAUACCCGGGUA
rnacentral:rRNA from 1 species